rnacentral:misc_RNA from 1 species
UAAUCUCAUCUUUUCAAUUGUAUUGUUGACUUGUGUGGAUUUGGAUGUUGCCAUAAAACGAAUUGGCUCAUCUGAAAUGCUUGAGUGUACCCUGUUUUUGCAGUGUAUCUGAUGUGAUAAUUCUUCAUCAGGAAUGGUCUUUUGUACCACAUUGCUUUUACUGGAUGUAUGCUUCCAACUGUCUUUACCGACUACAUUUUGACA